AGUGAACGCUGGCGGCAGGCCUAACACAUGCAAGUCGAGCGGCAGCGCGUCCGACCACCCUCGGGUGGUCGGAUGGCGGCGAGCGGCGGACGGGUGAGGAAUGCAUCGGAAUCUGCCUCGUUGUGGGGGAUAACGUAGGGAAACUUACGCUAAUACCGCAUACGACCUACGGGUGAAAGUGGGGGACCUUCGGGCCUCACGCGAUGAGAUGAGCCGAUGCCGGAUUAGCUAGUUGGCGGGGUAAAGGCCCACCAAGGCGACGAUCCGUAGCUGGUCUGAGAGGAUGAUCAGCCACACUGGAACUGAGACACGGUCCAGACUCCUACGGGAGGCAGCAGUGGGGAAUAUUGGACAAUGGGGGCAACCCUGAUCCAGCCAUGCCGCGUGAGUGAAGAAGGCCCUCGGGUUGUAAAGCUCUUUUGUCCGGAAAGAAAAGCAAUCGGUUAAUACCCGGUUGUUCUGACGGUACCGGAAGAAUAAGCACCGGCUAACUUCGUGCCAGCAGCCG
rnacentral:rRNA from 1 species